rnacentral:rRNA from 1 species
UACGGAGGGAGCUAGCGUUGUUCGGAAUUACUGGGCGUAAAGCGCACGUAGGCGGCUUUUAAGUCAGGGGUGAAAGUCCCGGGCUCAACCCCGGAACUGCCCUUGAAACUGGAGAGCUAGAAUCUUGGAGAGGCGAGUGGAAUUCCGAGUGUAGAGGUGAAAUUCGUAGAUAUUCGGAAGAACACCAGUGGCGAAGGCGACUCGCUGGACAAGUAUUGACGCUGAGGUGCGAAAGCGUGGGGAGCAAACAGGG